rnacentral:rRNA from 1 species
CCCUUAGAGUUUGAUCCUGGCUCAGAAUCAACGCUGGCGGCGUGCCUAAUACAUGCAAGUCGAACGCGAAAGUGGAGCAAUCCAUGAGUAGAGUGGCAAACGGGUGAGUAACGCGUGGGUGACCUGCCUUCGAGUGGGGGAUAACGUUUCGAAAGGAACGCUAAUACCGCAUGACAUCCUGCCUUUUAACAGGCGGAGAUCAAAGCCGGGGAUCGCAAGACCUGGCGCUUGAAGAGGGGCCCGCGUCCGAUUAGCUAGUUGGUGGGGUAAUGGCUCACCAAGGCAUCGAUCGGUAGCCGGCCUGAGAGGGCGGACGGCCACACUGGGACUGAGACACGGCCCAGACUCCUACGGGAGGCAGCAGUAGGGAAUUGUUCGCAAUGGGCGCAAGCCUGACGACGCAACGCCGCGUGGAGGAUGAAGACCUUCGGGUCGUAAACUCCUUUCGAUCGAGACGAAUGGCCUUCGGGUGAAUAAUCCGGAGGAAUGACGGUACCGAGAGAAGAAGCCCCGGCUAACUCCGUGCCAGCAGCCGCGGUAAUACGGGGGGGGCAAGCGUUGUUCGGAAUUACUGGGCGUAAAGGGCUCGUAGGCGGCCAACUAAGUCAGACGUAAAAUCCCUCGGCUUAACCGGGGAACUGCGUCUGAUACUGGAUGGCUUGAGAUUGGGAGAGGGAUGCGGAAUUCCAGGUGUAGCGGUGAAAUGCGUAGAUAUCUGGAGGAACACCGGUGGC